rnacentral:rRNA from 1 species
CCCUUAGAUGUUCUGGGCUGCACGCGCGCUACACUGAUGCGAUCAACAAGUUUUUCCUAUGUCGAUAGACACGGGUAAUCUUUUGAACUCGCAUCGUGAUGGGGAUAGAUUAUUGUAAUUAUUAAUCUUCAACGAGGAAUUCCUAGUAGGUGCAAAUCAUCAGUUUGCAUCGAUUACGUCCCUGCCCUUUGUACACACCGCCCGUCGCUGCUACCGAUUGGUUGAUCUGGUGAAGUAUUCGGACUGCCGGCUGAAGGGGUUUCCUCAUCUGCCAGCGGAAAGUCUUGUUAACCCUAUCAACUAGAGGAAGCAGAAGUCGUAACA